rnacentral:rRNA from 1 species
CAGGGGGUGCAAGCGUUGUUCGGAAUUACUGGGCGUAAAGCGCGGGCAGGUGGCCCGCUAAGUCUGCGGUGAAAUCCCGGAGCUCAGCUCCGGAUAUGCCGCGGAUACUGGCGGGCUAGAGACCAGUAGAGGCGAGUGGAAUUCCAGGUGUAGCGGUGGAAUGCGUAGAUAUCUGGAAGAACACCGGUGGCGAAGGCGGCUCGCUGGGCUGGUUCUGACACUCAUCCGCGAAAGCGUGGGGAGCAAACAGGAUUAGAUACCCUGGUAGUCCACGCCGUAAACGAUGGGCACUAGAUGCCGGGUCUAUAGACGGAUUCGGUGUCGUAGCUAACGCAUUAAGUGCCCCGCCUGGGGAGUACGGCCGCAAGGCUG